ACAGGUGCUGCAUGGCUGUCGUCAGCUCGUGUCAUGAGAUGUUGGGUUAAGUCCGUAACCGAGCGCAACCCUUGUCCUUAGUUACCAGCACGUUAUGGUGGGCACUCUAAGGAGACUGCCGGUGACAAACCGGAGGAAGGUGGGGAUGACGUCAAGUCAUCAUGGCCCUUACGGCCUGGGCUACACACGUGCUACAAUGGUCGGUACAAAGGGUUGCCAAGCCGCGAGGUGGAGCUAAAUCCCAUAAAACCGAUCGUAGUCCGGAUCGCAGUCUGCAACUCGACUGCGUGAAGUCGGAAUCGCUAGUAAUCGUGAAUCAGAAUGUCACGGUGAAUACGUUCCCGGGCCUU
rnacentral:rRNA from 1 species